CAACCUAGACAGAUUACUAGAGUAGAAAGGAAAAGGAAUGAUUUAUUUGGGCAGUAUCGGGAAACCCCUAUCAAACACAAAGU